AUUGAACGCUGGCGGCAGGCCUAACACAUGCAAGUCGAACGAGUGGCGGACGGGUGAGUAAUGUCUGGGAAACUGCCCGAUGGAGGGGGAUAACUACUGGAAACGGUAGCUAAUACCGCAUACCAUCGGAUGUGCCCAGAUGGGAUUAGCUUGGAGGUGGGGUAACGGCUCACCUAGGCGACGAUCCCUAGCUGGUCUGAGAGGUAGACCAGCAACACGGGAACUGAGACACGGUCCAGACUCCGACGGUAGGCAGCAGUGGGGAAUAGGGCACAAUGGGCGAAAGCCUGAUGCAGCCAUGCCGCGGGUAUGAAGAAGGCCUUCGGGUUGUAAAGUACUUUCAGCGGGGAGGCGUUACCCACAGAAGAAGCACCGGCUAACUCCGUGCCAGCAGCCGCGGUAAUAC
rnacentral:rRNA from 1 species